rfam:Triticum aestivum genome assembly, contig: Triticum_aestivum_CS42_TGACv1_scaffold_147017_2BS
UAAGUACUCCCUCCGUCCGGAAAUACUUGUCAUCAAAAUAAAUAAAAGAAAAUGUAUCUAGAUGUAUUUUAGUUUUAAAUACAUGUUUUUGUCCAUUUUGAUGACAAGUAUUUUCGGACAGAGGGAGUAGUGU